GUCUCAGUGGAAGCCAGCGCCAUCUAGUGGUGGCGAAUGACAUUGGGCCCUCUACAAGUAUGGAACACCAGAUGAAGUUGGAUGAAGCCUAACAUUGCCUGCCCUGAAGUCAUCAGUUGAAGCUCUCUUGCCUGAGGAUACCUGAAGUGAAAGUGACUACAGGUUAUGCUUGUGUUUGGUGAAGCCUAACAUUGCCUGCCCUGAAUCAUCAGUUGAAGCUCUCUUGCCUGAGGAUACCUGAAGUGAAAGGGACAGAGUCCCUGUUUCAUACCGGAGAAGGACGGCUUGCAGAGGAACUGAGUAUGGAACAUCAGAUGAAGUGGAUGAAGCCUAACAUUGCCUGCCCUGAAGUCAUCAGUUGAAGCUCUCUUGCCUGAGGAUACCUGAAGUGAAAGCUCUACAGAAAUUUAUCACUAAACACUGAGAUGUAGCAGAGAACCUACAAAGGAUAGAUAGCCUCAAUCUUUAAGGCUCAAUGAGAAUCACCACAAAGACAUUUUAUUCUUCCUGAAGAUGCCUUCUAUGAUAACUUUGCAUGGAGAAGCUGGGCUAUUCUGAGAUGUCGGUUGCCUGAACAAUUCUUAGGCCUCAGAAGGAUGGCUAGACAACAUCUUUAUAAUAAAGAGUUGAGUCAUGCAAAUGACCUACUAUAGGAAUCUCUUCAGGUAAUAACUACUAGUAGGAAAUACCUGAAAGAAGACUCUUCAGACUAAUAUCUCAUCACCAUAUAUUAUCCUAAAGCAUAUUCUGAAGAUGAUAUCUACAGUGAUGAGUUGGAGUCAUAGAUGGUGCCACUUCUUCAACCAGCUAUAUCACCAAAACAAUCUUCAUUAUACAUGAUGAUGCCUCUUUCCUGUGUAGCAGCAGACACCACCUUCAGAUAAGAAAUGCUUAAGGGAUUUAAAGCAGUUUUGACACACUGAUUCCUUUCCCCUACUUCUCUCAGAUCCAUUUUUCUUCAUUACCUGUUCAAGUAUAUGUCCUCAUUUAUGAACUCACCAGCUUAGGUGACUGAAAAACAAACUUCAUCAGGGUGACACGAUAAACAUGAUUAAUCAAGAUGUCAUGACCCAAUAAUAAGUAAGAUUUCACGGGAAAAUAAAUCUCUAUGCUGAGAAAUAUUAUCAAAAAGUGGGCUCAUGGACUUGCACAUAGGAUGGGAAGACAACUCUUUGGUAGAAAUCGGAAAGAAAAUGGUAACAUGUGCUGUAUGCCAAGAAUAAACAUCUGGAAUAAAAGAUGCAGAGGAAGACUUUUAGUGAAUUUUCCCUUGUAACAUGUGGAAUCUGAAGAUCAAACUAAUGCCAUGAGGCUUGGCAAAGUGUCUUGACCUGGUGAGCCAUUUUAUUGGAUCAAAAGGAAAAUAAAUUUUAAUUGUAAAAUAUUUUUUCUUGUCUUUAAGACUUCAGCCAGUAUUUAACCAUCUCUUGCUGUGUAUGUGCUGGGAGGUAAAACAACAUACUAUAAAGGGCCUGGUAGAUUAUACAAUCUUGUUUCAUGCUGGCUAGAAAAUAGAGAAAGACAAGAAGAGACCAGGUCAUGUUCCCAGAACCAGAACCAAACUUUUCAGACUAGUCUCACCUCCUAAUAAUACUAUCAUAUCAUUAUUGAUGUUAUUUAGGAGAUAUUUCAUUGAUUAAAUAGUUCCCAAGAUUUAUUCACUUGUCAAAAGUCUUUCAUCUGCCAAACAGGAAACUAAAUUGAAAAAUU
rnacentral:sRNA from 1 species